rnacentral:rRNA from 1 species
AUAUUGGAGGGCAAGUCUGGUGCCAGCAGCCGCGGUAAUUCCAGCUCCAAUAGCGUAUAUUAAAGUUGUUGUGGUUAAAAAGCUCGUAGUUGGAUCUCAGUUCUGGUCCUAGAGUGGUCCACUUGCCAGUGGUUAACCGCUCUGACCGAACACUAUUACCGUUCACUGGCUAUGGUGCUCUUAAUCGGGUGUCAUAGUCGUGCGGUACGUUUACUUUGAAAAAAUUAGAGUGCUCAAAGCAGGCAUGUACUUGCCCGAAUAAUGUUGCAUGGAAUAAUGGAAUAGGACCUCGGUUCUAUUUUGUUGGUCUUCGGAAUUGCCCGAGGUAAUGAUUAAGAGGGACAGACGGGGGCAUUCGUAUUGCGACGCUAGAGGUGAAAUUCUUGGACCGUUGCAAGACGAACUAAAGCGAAGGCAUUUGCCAAGAAUGUUUUCAUUAAUCAAGAACGAAAGUUAGCGGAUCGAAGGCGAUCAGAUACCGCCCUAGUGCUAACCAUAAACGAUGCCAA